GUCCUUGAUCCGCAGACGCUCAGGUGAUGGCUUCCGAUGAAGUCGGUCUCAGUGUUCGAGACCCGCUGGACUGAUCAGUGGAGCCGCGAAGAGUCUGCCUUGACCGUGGGACGUAACACAGAUACUGCGGGCAGUGUUUGAAGAUGGCCCUGAACUAUGUGUCCCUGUCUGCCGGCGAUCGAAGAGGCCUGGUGGCCUACCGCUCUUCCCACGGCGACCUCAGCUCGUCGGCCUUAGCGUUGGCGAUGGUCUCUGGAGACGGCUUCCUCGUUACCAGUCCCGAGGAGAUUCUUCCAGAACCUAUUCUUCGGUCCACCGUGCGGCUGAACUUCCGGACCGAGAGCCGUCGGGCGCCUGGUGGCGGCGGGAGCCCGACCCGCUUUAUAGAGGGAAGGGAGCAGGAGGCGCGGAGCCGAAGCCGCCAAGCCAGAUUUUCACCUUACUCGGGCCGUGCGAUUAAACUCGACCUCCUAAGAAGUGUCCUGCAACAGCGUCUGGUGGCACUUAGAGGUGUUAGCGCAGCCCGUCUUUCAGCUUAAAAUGAAUACCUCUCUCCGCCCCUCAGCUUGUGAACAAGGCUUCUCUAAAAUACUUUCUUGGUGCAACCGAAGUCUUAUUUUUAGAGGGACGUCUUUUCAGUUUAAUAUAAAAAUGCGUGGUAGUCCUGUUACUCUAGACUAGCGCAAAGUAAAAUGUUUACAGCUACUUGAUUCAGAUGGUUUUAAACAGCCAUGAUGAUUAGAUCGGAAGGGAGGAGCAGCAGAGAUUCUUUUUGAGGUAGUCACAAAGGAUGGGAUCAUCCUUCCCAGAGGUCAGUAAUCCUUUUAUCCUCCCAACAAUGGAUCCAAAUUUGUCUUGCUUUCCACAAGUCUUACACCUCCUCCCUGGCAGAUUCUCCUACUUUGAGACUUAUAAUUCCGAGUUUCCUUACAUGCCUACCUUUCUACCUCAGAUUAUUCCCUCUGCCUUUACUUCUGUUGGUUUAUUACUGUGGCGUAUCCUCCCACCUAUGGCCCAACACUUCUAUCAUCUUGUCCUUAAGACUUCUUCCAUUCCCCUCCUCUUUUUCUUAAGGAAUAUCUACAAACCAGUCUCUACUAAAACAACAAAAGCAAAACCUAAACCUUGCUACUCUCUCAAAUUAAUAAACCAAUUUACAUUUCUUUAUUUGCCAAAAGUUCCAAAUGAAUUUUUACACUUAUAUUUGUCACUUUAUUGCUCACAUUCAAUCCCAGCUUCCUUAAUCUGAAUCUUGUCCCAAACUAUACAAAAAUUGGAAACCUUCAUCUUACAGUUUUCUCUUAGGAAGCUGCUCAUCUGUUUACUCUAGCAUCUUCCUUAAACUUUCUCGUUUGUCUUUGGCCAUUCCACUAUUAAAUAGUAUUUGAAGAUCUUCUCAGUGCUAAGCACUGUGGAUGAACUUUACAUAGCCCUGCUAUCCAGGAGAUCAAGGAGUGUACUCAAGAUGGAGAGGCUAAUAAAUCACCACACUGGACUGUUCAUUAGGUGCAGUGAUGAAAAUAAACCUUGGUUGCCAUGGCUCUCCGUAAUACUGCACUAUCCUGGUUCUUCCCUUAUCUGGCUGAUCCUCCUUAUCUGCUCAUAAUUUUGUCUUAAGCAGACAUUCUCCAAGGUUUAAAGGGUGGUAUUGGGAGAAAUCUAGUGGGUUUUGUAAGUGGCAACUCUUUAUGUAAGCAGGCAGUGUAACUUUUUCCCAGCGGACUCUGGUCUGUAAUUACGUUCAGAUAAAGCAAAAUUACCACACACCAAACAACUGAAUUGUGAGAACUACAUUUUAAGAAGAAUAUUGACAAACCAGAGAGCUUCUGUAAGAGUGAUCAGUACAGUGAGAGGUCUGGAAACCAGGUCAUAAGAAAAUCGUUUGAAAGGAUAGUAGCUAUGUGUAAUAUGUGCAAGGCAAUGUGCUAGACGCGAUUAUUCAUUGUUUAUUCAGAUAUUUAUUGAGCACUUACUCUGUGCCUGCUAGUAACUGUGCCUGCUAGUAACUAUGUUAGGCACUUAGAAUAAAGUGGUGAACAAGAUGGAUAUGGUCUCUGCUCUUACGGAGCUUUAUGUAUGUCAUCUAGUUCUCACAACAGCCCAUAACAAAAGUAUUAUGCUUUCAUUUUUUUGCCAAGAAACCAAGGCACAAAGAGAUGAGGUAAACUUUCCAAGGUCAUACAGCUAGAUAGAGCCUUGUAGCCAUUCAACCCAGGUUCCUCAUUUGAAUCACGAAACACCAAAAAUGACUUGAGUGACUAUUUUCUCAAUUCUCGCAAAGAUAGUAGCUAACUAAUGCUAUUCUAUCAAUAGAUAUCUGAAAAGAAGUUAAUUCAUAAUAUAUGGAUUCCUUAGGCUGGGUGUGGUUGAGAAAGAAUCCCAAACCUACAUGCUAAGAAUUUUAGAUUGGGAAAGAAUAAUAAAAUUAAGGCUGAAGGUAAGAAGAAUUUUCAUAAAACUUAGAGAUGCCUGAUGGUGGAAAAUACCACCUCACAGGGUAAUAAAUUAACUCUCCAAAGUUCACGUAGAGGCUAAAUUCUGUCAAGUAUGAAAUAAGACUUAUUUUAUAAGAUGAAAAGUCAUAAAUGACUUCUUCAGUUCUUUCCCAUUUAAUCUUUAAUUCUAUACUUUAAAUCAUGAACUUGAUUAAAAUUGAAAAUGGAGAAUUGGAGGGGGUGAGAAGUGAAAAGUGAGGUAUACAUUUUUGUAUAGGAUGUAUACAUCCAAUACAUAGGAUGACCAUAUUUACUGUGUAAACCAGGGCACUUGAGAGGGGAAGGGGGGCUAUCAAUUAAUUAUGCUUAGGCAAUAGGCAUAAAUAGGGCAGCCACGUUGGAUCAUAUCACCCUAGGAGAUGGUACAACAUUAAAUACACCUUUGAAGCCAUAUUCCUUAGCUUCAGGGCAAGGAGGCUGAGAUUUGUAAACAAAGGAGCAAAAGUUUGGCAUGAGUGUGCACAAAAGCACACAAGAGGAAGAGGAUCCAGUGGGAGUGACUUGAUUUCUGUUUGUUCUCACAUAGGGUCAUCAGGAGUAGGGCUUUGAUUGAAUAAUAAACAGUGUAUAUGUGCCAGAAAGAAAAUGAUAUGAAAAAAAUGUUUGAUAAGAGGAGAACCUUGUUCACAUUAAUGCUCCAUCAUUUUAUUUUUUUUUGGCUGCACCACGCGGCAUGUGGGAUCUUAGUGCCCUGGACUGGGAUCGAGCCCUCGCCCCCUACAGUGAGAGUACGAAAUCUUAACUACUGGGCCGCCAGGGAAGUCCCGAUGCUCCAUAAUUUUAAAUCUGAGCCAAUGGAUGUCUAAAUUCUCCUUGUUCUUAACAUCUGCACUGGUGUCCAAGUUACAGCAUCUGCCUAGAGUCACAAAGACUGUUGUGGAAGCAAGGAACAACAUAAACCUCUUUAAAUGAAACAACUAAGUUUUCCCAAGAGUAGUCCAUGUUAUUAAAAAUCCAUAUGUUAGUGUACAAAAUUACUUUUAAUGUAAUAUCACUGCUUAAAUAUAGCAUGUUGUCAUUCUAAAAUAGAUGAAUUUUCUAAGACAAAAAAUAGUCCCCCAAAUUAAUACUUCUAUAAGUUUUUAAAAAGCCAUGGAAACUUCCUUUUUGUUCUAAUUGGCCAUUGUUUUUUAUAUCAUACUAAGCAACUGACUAUUAUGUGUCAAAGGGAAGUCCUAUUAGUAUAUUUACUUCCUCUAUUCAUCAGCUCUAAAACUCUUAAAAAGAAUGCCCAUUUGGGGUAUAGAAAAAAAGGAGGCCAAGCAGAUUUUCCCUUAAUAGCCAGAUUUGGUGCUAAGCCUAAUUCUAAGAGGGGUAACUCAGCAGGAAGAAAAGAAAGAAAUGGAGGAAAGUCCUAUGGGAGGGAAGAGCAGGUAGACUUAAUGGUGAGGCUCAACUGUAUUUCGAACAAAAUUGUGUCUUUUAUCCCUUUGAUGAACCUAUCUAGAUCCCACUUAGGUGCAGCUUUUGUCUUCCUAAUUUCCAUGAAAAGUACUCUCAUUUUCCUAGCCAACCAAAUGUGUAAGUUUGAGUAUCUACGACUUCAUACCACCUAUUUCCUAUCUUUAUCGCCUGUGUCAAUUCGAUUGCAAAGUCCUGGUCAUUUUAUGUUCACAAUGUAUUUAUGUUAUGUUUCCAUAUAUACUUUCAUCACCUGGACUGUAUUUACCUGGACAUCUAUCUCGUUUUGUUUGCUUCUGUCUCUCUGCAUCCUAAAUAUCUAUAGCUCCAGAUCAAUAAGCCCAAAGCAUAUCUGUCUGAUCGCAUAGUUAAACUAUAACUUUAUAGUACCAUAAACUCUUCCCGUGUUUCCCGUAGUAUAUUCCAUAGAAUCUCUACUAGAAAUACAAGGUACUCUUUGGAAAAAAGACGAGGUCGAUAAAAUUGACAAAUGCAUGUUUUAUCACCUUCUUAGGGUGCCACAAUGUGUAAUAACAUGUUAAAGGGUCUGAUAAUUCCUUUAGAAAAGGAAACCUGGGUAACUUCAUUUUAACCAAUGAUUCACAAAUGUAUUUGUCCAUAAAUUAAAAUUUUUUGCAUACU
ensembl:lncRNA